rnacentral:rRNA from 1 species
CUUGGCGACCAUAGCGUUUUGGACCCACCUGAACCCAUUCCGAACUCAGAAGUGAAACGAAAUAGCGUCGAUGGUAGUGUGGGGUUUCCCCAUGUGAGAGUAGAACAUCGC